UAACGCGUGGGUAACCUGCCUUACACUGGGGGAUAACACUUAGAAAUAGGUGCUAAUACCGCAUAAGCGCACGAAGCCGCAUGGAUUUGUGUGAAAAACUACGGUGGUGUAAGAUGGACCCGCGUCUGAUUAGCUUGUUGGCGGGGUAACGGCCCACCAAGGCGACGAUCAGUAGCCGGCCUGAGAGGGUGGACGGCCACAUUGGGACUGAGACACGGCCCAAACUCCUACGGGAGGCAGCAGUGGGGGAUAUUGGACAAUGGGGGGAACCCUGAUCCAGCGACGCCGCGUGAGUGAAGAAGUAUUUCGGUAUGUAAAGCUCUGUCAGCAGGGAAGAAAGAAAUGACGGUACCUGACCAAGAAGCCCCGGCUAACUACGUGCCAGCAGCCGCGGUAAUACGUAGGGGGCAAGCGUUAUCCGGAAUUACUGGGUGUAAAGGGAGCGUAGACGGUUAAGUAAGUCUGGAGUGAAAGGCCGGGGCCCAACCCCGGGACUGCUCUGGAAACUAUUCAACUUGAGUGCAGGAGAGGUAAGCGGAAUUCCUAGUGUAGCGGUGAAAUGCGUAGAUAUUAGGAGGAACACCAGUGGCGAAGGCGGCUUACUGGACUGUAACUGACGUUGAGGCUCGAAAGCGUGGGGAGCAAACAGGAUUAGAUACCCUGGUAGU
rnacentral:rRNA from 1 species